UACGAAGGGUGCAAGCGUUACUCGGAAUUACUGGGCGUAAAGCGUGCGUAGGUGGUUUGUUAAGUCUGUUGUGAAAGCCCCGGGCUCAACCUGGGAAUGGCAAUGGAUACUGGCAGGCUAGAGUGCGGUAGAGGGUAGUGGAAUUCCCGGUGUAGCGGUGAAAUGCGUAGAGAUCGGGAGGAACACCAGUGGCGAAGGCGGCCUUCUGGACAGUGACUGACGCUGAGACGCGAAAGCGUGGGGAGCAAACAGG
rnacentral:rRNA from 1 species